GACGAACGCUGGCGGCGUGCUUAACACAUGCAAGUCGAACGGAAAGGCCCUGCUUUUGUGGGGUGCUCGAGUGGCGAACGGGUGAGUAACACGUGAGUAACCUGCCCUUGACUUUGGUAUAACUUCAGGAAACUGGAGCUACUACCGUAUAGGAGCUCCUGCUGCAUUGUGGGGGUUGGAAAGUUUCGGCGGUUGGGGAUGGACUCGCGGCUUAUCAACUUGUUGGUGGGGGAGUGGCUUACCAAGGCUUUGACGGGUAGGCGGCAUGAGAGGGUGACCGGGCACAUUGGGACUGAGAUACGGCCCAGACUCCUACGGGAGGCAGCAGUGGGGAAUAUUGCACAAUGGGCGGAAGCCUGAUGCAGCAACGCCGCGUGCGGGAUGACGGCCUUCGGGUUGUAAACCGCUUUCGCCUGUGACGAAGCGUGAGUGACGGUAAUGGGUAAAGAAGCACCGGCUAACUACGUG
rnacentral:rRNA from 1 species